rnacentral:rRNA from 1 species
AGAAUCAACGCUGGCGGCGUGCCUAACACAUGCAAGUCGAACGCGGUUAUUUCAGCUCCGCAAGGCGUUGGGAUAACUGAGUGGCGAACGGGUGAGUAACACGUGGGUGAUCUACCUUCGAGUGGGGGAUAACGUUCCGAAAGGAACGCUAAUACCGCAUGACGUUCUGGGUUUGAAGACCUGGAAACCAAAGCCGGGGACCGCAAGGCCUGGCGCUUGGAGAGGAGCCCGCGUCCGAUUAGCUAGUUGGCGGGGUAACGGCCCACCAAGGCGACGAUCGGU